rnacentral:rRNA from 1 species
UACAGAGGUCCCAAGCGUUGUUCGGAUUCACUGGGCGUAAAGGGUGCGCAGGCGGUCGGGUGUGUCAGAUGUGAAAUCCCGAGGCUCAACCUCGGAACUGCGUCUGAAACUACUCGACUAGAGUACUGGAGAGGGUAACGGAAUUCACGGUGUAGCAGUGAAAUGCGUAGAUAUCGUGAGGAACACCAGAGGCGAAGGCGGUUACCUGGACAGUUACUGACGCUCAGGCACGAAAGCAUGGGGAGCAAAAGGG